rnacentral:misc_RNA from 1 species
GAUGAAGAACGCAGCGAAAUGCGAUAAGUAAUGUGAAUUGCAGAAUUCAGUGAAUCAUCGAAUCUUUGAGCGCACAUUGCGCCCGCCAGUAUUCUGGCGGGCAUGCCUGUCCGAGCGUCAUUUCAACCCUCGCGCCCAUCUGGGCUGCGGUGUUGGGGACCGGCCUGCCCCCCGGGGCGCGCCGCCCCCCAAAUUCAGUGGCGGUCUCGCUGCAGCCUCCCUUGCGUAGUAGCACACCUCGCACCGGAGCGCAGCGCGGCCACGCCGUAAAACCCCCGACCCCCAUGAGUUUGACCUCGGAUCAGGUAGGAAUACCCGCUGAACUUAAGCAUAUCAAUAAGCGGAGGA